rnacentral:lncRNA from 1 species
GACGUCCCUCCUCCGGCGUCAGGACGGCGGCGAUGACUGCGCUGCGGUUGCCGGACGAACCCUCUGAACAUCUCGGACCACUUUCCAGUCGGGUGGACUCGCCGGUAACCACUUUCCAGUCAACCUUGAUCUGACUAUCACUUUGCAGUCGACUACGCUGCCCAGACCUUCGACCUCUAUCUCUUUGGCCUUCGUCUUCACUGCAAACUGGUCUGGGAUGCAUGUAGCCUCGGUCCAGCAAGAGGCGAGCCGCCGUCGGAGCUUGAUCGCCGAGAAAGGAGGGACGUCCG